GUGGCUUUAGUUUAAUGAAAAUGAUGAUUUGUCUAGUCAUAGAUGGUAGUUUAGUAAUCAAGUCGCU
rnacentral:tRNA from 1 species